AUUUUCCGUAGUGUAGUGGUUAUCACGUUCGACUAACACGCAAAUGGUCCCUGGUUCGUAACCAGGUGAAAACA